rnacentral:rRNA from 1 species
AUGAGUCUCGAUAAUGGAUAUCUCAACUCUCACAUCGAUGAACAAUGCAACGAAAUAUGAUACUUGGUGUGAAUUAUAGAAUUUUAUGAACCAUCAAUUCUUUGAAUGCAAGUUGCACCUUUAGCCAUUAUGCCAAAGGCAUGGCUUCCUAGCUACCAUGCAUCAUCACCCUUUCUAACCUCUCUCCCAUCGGGCUCCUAGUAAUAGGGCAAAAGAUGGCCUCUAGUGACCUCAUCUAUUGUGGUUGGCCUAAAAACAAGUCCCUGGCAAUCAAAGCCCUGUGACCAUGAAUGCUAAAGCUCCUAGUGUGAAUCAUCUCCGGUGACAUGCACUCAUCCAACUAAACCCAUUGGACCCUCCAUAUCACUCAGUCGAUGCUCACAUUGUGACCUUAGGUCAGGUAGGAUUACCUGUUGAGUUUAAGCAUAUGAAUAAGCAAAGGAAAAGAAACUUACCAGGAUUCUAGUAACAAUGAGUGAAUUAGAAAAAGCCCAGCUUGAGAAUCGGGAACCCUUGGAGUCCAAAUUGUAGUAUGGUGAAGCAUACUUAGUGAUAGACUAGGCCUAAGUCCUAUAGAAAGGGGUGUUAGAGAGAGUGAGAGUCCUAUUGUGCUUGGAUCCUAUCGCACCAUGAGACUCUAUCUACAAGUCAGGUUGUUUGGGAUUGCAGCCCUAAUCAGGUGGUAAAUUUCAUCCAAGGCUGAAUAUGAGUGAGAGAGCAAUAGUGAAGAAGUAUUACGAGGGAAACAUGAAAAAGACUUUGAAAAGAGAGUCAAAAAGUGCUUGAAAUUAUCAAAAGGGAAAUGGAUGGGGGAUGAUGAUGCAUCCUAGUUAGAUGUGGAAUGGUGAGAGCCAGUCCAAUGAUUGGCUUAGGGAGUGGACUAAAAUGUGUCUAGUGGCUGCCUAACCCUAGGCUUUCGAUAUGCCCAUAGAGACAUUGUCACUAUGAUCGUGGAACGUAUCACACAUCGUCUCAACAUGCCUCAACACUCAUGCGCUCUUGGCAUUAGCCUGCGAGCUCUUUAUCUAGCUUAUCUUGAAACGUAGACCAAAGAGUGUGACAUGUGUGCAAGUUAACAUGCUAGAUAACUUAUAAGGUGCAAGGAAGCUAGUUGGUGGGAUCCUUCAUAGGUGCACCACCGACUGACCUUGAUCUUCUGAGAAAGAUUUGAGUGGUGAGCUUUACCUGUUAGGUGAACUAUGCCUGAAGUGGGGCUAAAGCCCCAAUGAUACUAAUGUGUAUAUCAUUCAUCUAACUUGGGUAUAGGGGUGAAAAACUAAUUGAACCAUCUAGUAGCUAGUUUCUUAUUAAAAGUUUCCAUUAGGAUAGAUGGAAGCCUUUUAGCGAGUUUUAUUAGGUAAAGCCAUGGUUAGAGGCAUUGUGGGCACAAUGCCCUUAACCUAUUUUCAAACUUUUAAUAGUAGGAUUGAUGCAACUACUCAUUGAGAUGCUCCCAUGGAAUCGAGACCUCUAAGAGGGCUAUUUUUGGUAAGUAGCAACUAGUGACACAUGAUGAACUAAAAGUUGGUUAUAGUGCCUAAUUGUGCGCUAACCUAGAAACCUCGAAGGUGUUGGUCGAUUAAGAUAGGUAAGAUGGUGAUCAUGGAAGUCAAAAUCCUUUAAGAAGAGGUAACAACCCACCUGUCAAAUCAACUAGCUUAAAAAAAUAAAUGGCGCUUAAGCACGUGACCUAUACUAGAUCAUCGAGGCAAGGGCCAAUCCCCGAUGAGUAGAAAGAUAUGAUAGUUGCUGCAAAACUUAGUGCACAAGCCUUUGCAAAGAGAUUGUCGGUGCAGAUCUUGGUGGUAGUAGCAAAUAUUCAAAUCAAAACUUUGAAGGCCAAAGAAGGGAAAGGUUCCAUGUGAACAACACUUGCACAUAGGUUAGUCGAUCCUUAGAGAUGGGUCCAACAUGAGCUUUGAAAGGAAAUUUAGUUAAAAUUUCUAAAUUGGGACACUAUGGCUAACAACAACAUUAGGGAUUCCAAAGAUAUCGAUGGAGGCCUCAGGAAGAGUUAUCUUUUCUAUUUAAUGACCUACCCACCCUAGAAAUAACUCAAUUAGAGGUAGGUUCCAUUCGCCAAAAAAGCAACGCAUAUCACAUUAUGUCAUGUUUGCCCUAGUAGCAUUUGAAAAUAUGGAGGAAUGAGUGCUAUUCAUGCCCAGUUGUACUCAUAAUUGCAUGGGUUUCCAAAUUGAACAAGCUCUAGUUGAUGGAAACAAUGUAGGUAAGGGAAGUCAACAAAAUGGAUCUCUAACCUUGGGAAAAGAUUGGCUCUGAGGGUUAGCAUGGGGGGUCCUAGUCUUGAACCUUUUGGCUACCAAUGUACUACUCGAGCUGCCCCACGGUGACAGCAAUCGAUACAUGUAGGCUUAGGAUGGACUAGGAAUGGCUCCCUCAGGGGCCUUCCCCAAGUGCAUGAAUAGUCAACUCAAAAUUCGUAUAGACUAGAGGAAUCCGACUGUUUAAUUAAAACAAGCAUUACGAUGGUCCCUAGGGAUGCUCACUCAAUGUGAUUUUGCCCAGUGCUCUAAAUGUCAAAGUGAAGAAUUUCAACCGAUCGUGGGAGUAAUAUGACUCUUUUGAGGUAGCCAAAUGUCCCUACAUCUAAUUAGUGACACACAUGAGUGGAUUAACAAGAUUCUUAUUGUCCUUGUCGACUAUCCAGCAAAACCACAACCAAGGGAAUCGGGCUCGGUAGAACCAACAGAAAAGAAGACCUAAUUGAGCUGACUCUAGUCUAACUUUGUGAAAUGACUUGAGAGGUGUAGGGUAAGUGGGAGCCCUCUGAUGAAAUUGAAAUACCAUUUCUUUUAAUGUUAUUUUACUUAUUUCAUGAAUCGAAGGUGGGGCACAACUCUUUUUUUAGACAUAAAGCCAGCCUGAUCAAUCUAUCCAGGUAGAAGACAUUGUUAAGUGGAGAGUUUGCUGGGGCAGCACAUCUAUUAAAAGAUAACACAAGUGUCCUAUGAUAAUCUCUACGAGAACAAGAAUUUUAUGUGGAACAAAAAGGAAAAGCUUAUUUCAUUUAUGAUUUCUAGUAUAAAUAUGAGCCAUGAAAGCACGGCCUAUCGAUCUUUUAGACCUUUAAAAUUUGAAGCUAGAGGCAUUAGAAAAGUUACCAUAAGGAUAAUUAGCUUGUGGUAAUGAAGUAUUCAUUAGCGACAUUACUUUUUGAUCCUUCGAUUUCAGCUCUUUCCCAUCAUUUGUAAAGCAAAAUUCUCUAAGUGUUGGAUUGUUUCACCCACUAAUAUAAAAUUUGAGCUAGGUUUAGACCAUUAUGAGAUAGGUUAGUUUUACCCUACUAAUAGCAAUGUUGCAAUAGUAUUUCAACCUAGAAUGAGAAGAACUAUUGAUUUGCAUAAUUGGUCAUCAUGCUUGGUUGAAAAGCUAGUGGCAAGAAGCUAUCAUGCACUGGAUUAUGAUUGAAUGCCUCUAAGUCAAAAUCUAGGCUAGAAGUGAUGCAUGUGCCCAUCAUCCAAUUGUUGACCUCUAGCAUGGAUGCAUGGCCUCCAAAGGCAUGUGUCAUAGGUGCAGCCCCUGCUACGGACAAGCUACAUAGGCUUCAUU